rnacentral:rRNA from 1 species
CCUGGCGGCCGUAGCGCGGUGGUCCCACCUGACCCCAUGCCGAACUCAGAAGUGAAACGCCGUAGCGCCGAUGGUAGUGUGGGGUCUCCCCAUGCGAGAGUAGGGAACUGCCAGGG